UACGGAGGAUCCAAGCGUUAUCCGGAAUCAUUGGGUUUAAAGGGUGCGUAGGUGGGUUAAUAAGUCAGUGGUGAAAUACGGUUGCUCAACAAUCGAGGUGCCAUUGAUACUGUUAAUCUUGAAACAAGUGGAGGUUGCCGGAAUGGAUGGUGUAGCGGUGAAAUGCAUAGAUAUCAUCCAGAACACCGAUUGCGAAGGCAGGUGACUACGUUUGAUUUGACACUGAGGCACGAAAGCAUGGGGAGCAAACAGG
rnacentral:rRNA from 1 species